GUGAGUACCGUAGUGAGCCUUAUUGCUAUGUAGAUAAGGUCUGGAGUGCGACUCCGUACAGCUGGAGUUCACACACAUACUCACACAACAGCUGGACAGCCAGCGGCAGUAUUACGAGGGUCGGAUACAGGAGUGAGUACCGUAGUGAGCCUUAUUGCUAUGUAGAUAAGGUCUGGAGUGCGACUCCGUACAGCUGGAGUUCACACACAUACUCACACAACAGCUGGACAGCCAGCGGCAGUAUUACGAGGGUCGGAUACAGGAGUGAGUACCGUAGUGAGCCUUAUUGCUAUGUAGAUAAGGUCUGGAGUGCGACUCCGUACAGCUGGAGUUCACACACAUACUCACACAACAGCUGGACAGCCAGCGGCAGUAUUACGAGGGUCGGAUACAGGAGUGAGUACCGUAGUGAGCCUUAUUGCUAUGUAGAUAAGGUCUGGAGUGCGACUCCGUACAGCUGGAGUUCACACACAUACUCACACAACAGCUGGACAGCCAGCGGCAGUAUUACGAGGGUCGGAUACAGGAGUGAGUACCGUAGUGAGCCUUAUUGCUAUGUAGAUAAGGUCUGGAGUGCGACUCCGUACAGCUGGAGUUCACACACAUACUCACACAACAGCUGGACAGCCAGCGGCAGUAUUACGAGGGUCGGAUACAGGAGUGAGUACCGUAGUGAGCCUUAUUGCUAUGUAGAUAAGGUCUGGAGUGCGACUCCGUACAGCUGGAGUUCACACACAUACUCACACAACAGCUGGACAGCCAGCGGCAGUAUUACGAGGGUCGGAUACAGGAGUGAGUACCGUAGUGAGCCUUAUUGCUAUGUAGAUAAGGUCUGAAGUUCGACUCCGCACAGCUGGAGUUCACACACAUACUCACACAACAGCUGGACAGCCAGCGGCAGUAUUACGAGGGUCGGAUACAGGAGUGAGUACCGUAGUGAGCCUUAUUGCUAUGUAGAUAAGGUCUGAAGUUCGACUCCGCACAGCUGGAGUUCACACACAUACUCACACAACAGCUGGACAGCCAGCGGCAGUAUUACGAGGGUCGGAUACAGGAUCACUAUAUAUAAAAAACCGACCCUACCCGUGAAUAAUCAGUUCUUGUCAUAAUAUUUUGAACUUGUCGCGUUUUUCAGGUUUAAUUUCCAAAAUAUCGAUCCUAGAAGAAAAAUUGUUUGGACCAAACUUGUAGAGAAUCAAAUUUCCUACAAUUUUUGUCCUCACGAUUUUACUGUAAAAUCAAAAAUGGUCGAGUUAUUCAAGUAAAACCGUUUU